GGAAGAGUUUAAAAAAAUUAGAAAAAAAAAAAAAGACCAGUGAUGGAGACUUUUUUUUAUUUAACGUCAGUGUCCGUUACCAUCCAAUUUAACGGGGAAGGCCGCGGAACAGUGAACUGGGUGUUUGCUGGGAGCCUGUAUAAAAGAUGCAGAGUGAAUGAAUAUUCAAUCCGACGAUUUAAGUGGAGAUUCAGGAAAUCGGGAUAUCAGGUUGGAAGGGAUAGUCCAGAUAUGAUAUUAGGUUGGAAGGAAUAGUUUAGAUGCGAUGGAGAUGGAGAAGGGAUGGGGUGCGCCGGAUGAUUGACAGCCACUGAUCAUUUCAGCAUGGCCCAACCAUGUAAGGUGGGAUCAGGGACUUUGCAGUAUUUCUUUUCCCAUUUCACAUCAUCUGAGUUAGAAGGGAUCAGUUUUUGCGUUGAUAAGGUAAGCCUCCAUUUGUUUGAUUUUUUUUUUUGAUUUAUCAGAGCAUUGGCGUCUUGCUGCCAGUGCAUGGCAACCAUGAUCAACCAACGUGGCAUCAUACGAGGUGGAUUGGGGCGAUUGGGGAUUUAACGAGGAAAGGAAGAGUGAAUGGACCGAUUUGGGAACAUAAGAAGUAAUAGAGCAUGUAGCUUAUGAUCUGUGGAAAAAAAAUGAGAUCAAAGGAUAAACAUUGGCUGAAGCUAUCUUUCCAUGGACCGAGGGUGGGUGAAUAUGGUUUGGCCUCCAUCCAAUUUCCCAUCUGAAAACAUGGCUGGAAGUCGUGGGGGCAGGUUCAAAAUCUGUGGAUGGUGUGAAGAGGAACAAAAAAUACACCUCAGGGUGUGCGAUCCAUGGAGUGGGGAACAAAAGCUGUUUUGAUCUCAUUGCCGGAUCUUGGUCGGAGUUUUUGGGAAGAAGAGGAACGUAGGAGCUUUUAGGAAGAAGAGGACGAAAUAAUCGGAAAGGAGGAUGGGUUUCGGUGGAGGAAUGGAUUGGAAAAAAGUGGAGAAGAGUCUAGAAGAUGGGAGAAAAAAAAUGAUGGAAAAAAAAAAGAAAAAAAA